CCCUUAGAUGUCCUGGACCGCACGCGCGCUACGCUGACAUGUUCAACAAGUUUCUCCUAGUUCGACAGGACUGGGAAAUCUUUGAACGCAUGUCGUGAUAGGGAUAGAUCAUUGCAAUUAUUGAUCUUGAACGAGGAAUUCCUAGUAAACGCGAGUCAUCAGCUCGCAUUGAUUACGUCCCUGCCCUUUGUACACACCGCCCGUCGCACCUACCGAUUGAAUGUUUCGGUGAAGAUUCCGGAUAGGACUGAUUUGAUUUAUUUCAUUUCUGACCUAAAAGCUAUCUAAACCUCAACAUUUAGAGGAAGGUGAAGUCGUAACA
rnacentral:rRNA from 1 species